rnacentral:rRNA from 1 species
GUCUACGGCCAUGCCACCCUGGACAAGCCCGAUCCCGUCUGAUCUCGGAAGCCAAGCAGGGUCGGGCCUGGUGAGCACUCGGAUGGGAGACCACCUAGGAAGACCAGGUGCUGUAGGUG